AUGCAACCAAAUCCCAGCGCACCUGGUAGUUCAAACUUACAUUGGAUGGCCGGCGAUCAACUGCCCCGCCUCUACAAGCUCCUCAGGGAUGACUUGGUAAUAGUUGGGAUCCCCUACAGCGGCCAAAUCCCGGCGCACCCAGCCGCCUCUCGUGGUCCCCGCUCCUUCAGCUCCACUUCACCGGCGCUGUCAGUCCACAGGAGUAGGGGAGGCGUGCCCAUCAACAAACAAGAACAUAAGGGAGAAGCAGCAGGGACAGUACGCGUCGGUGUCUAUAUUCAGCUUUAUUUUUGUUUUGAAGUUGAUGUGAAAGAGCUUUUGAAAGCAAACAUCAGUCCAGUUUCGUUUUGUAUCAGCUGCUCCAAGGAAUGA
rnacentral:rRNA from 1 species